ACUAAGCGGGAGAUGCAGAUGGCCUGGCUUUAAUCCCAAGGACACCCCACCUCCCUGUGCGCCCCAGACCACUGUCCUGCCCUCCAGUGGCUGGCGGCUGACAGGGUCGGUCCAGGCGGUUCCAGGGAUGGGCAUGUCUAUGUCUGGGGACCAUUACUCUGCCUCCCACAUGAUCAGAAAGUCGAUUGCCUGAGUGUUACAAGACCUUGAAGCAGUUUGCCGAGCUUCUGAAAGUCAGAGCCCUGCUUCCAGCCUACCGUGUUCCUGAAGCAAGAGGACUCAUGCCUGCUGCCUGCUGAGCCCUGGCGGGCCCCACAGCUGUCUGCUCUGUCAGG